UGGGGAAUCUUGCGCAAUGGGGAAACCCUGACGCAGCGACGCCGCGUGCGGGAUGAAGGCCUUCGGGUUGUAAACCGCUUUCAGCAGGGACGAGGCCUUAUGGUGACGGUACCUGCAGAAGAAGCUCCGGCUAAAUAAGUGCCAGCAGCCGCGGUAAUACGUAUGGAGCAAGCGUUAUCCGGAUUCAUUGGGCGUAAAGCGCUCGUAGGCGGUCUGUUAGGUCGGCAAGUUAAAUCCGGGGGCUCAACCCCCGUCCGCUUCCGAUACCGGCAGACUUGAGUUUGGUAGGGGAAGGUGGAAUUCCUAGUGUAGCGGUGGAAUGCGCAGAUAUUAGGAAGAACACCGGUGGCGAAGGCGGCCUUCUGGGCCAUAACUGACGCUGAGGAGCGAAAGCUAGGGGAGCGAACAGG
rnacentral:rRNA from 1 species